rnacentral:rRNA from 1 species
UACGUAGGGUGCGAGCGUUGUUCGGAAUUACUGGGCGUAAAGCGCGCGCAGGCGGCCUUUAAGUCUGACGGUGAAAUGCCGGGGCUCAACCCCGUGCCCGCCGGAGAUACUGGGAGGCUGGAGACGAGUAGAGGCAAGCGGAAUCCGGGUUGUAGCGGUGGAAUGCGUAGAGAUCCGGAAGAACACCGGAGGCGAAGGCGGCUGCUGGGCUUUGUCUGACGGCUGAGGCG